CACCCAGACUCCUACGGGAGGCAGCAGUGGGGAAUAUUGCACAGUGGGGGAAACCCUGAUGCAGCGACGCCGCGUGAGUGAAGAAGUAUCUCGGUACGUAAAGCUCUAUCAGCAGGGAAGAAAAAAAGUCCUUCGGACUUUGGACGGUACCUGAUUAAGAAGCCCCGGCUAACUACGUGCCAGCAGCCGCGGUAAUACGUAGGGGGCAAGCGUUAUCCGGAUUCACUGGGCGUAAAGGGAGCGCAGGCGGCACGGCAAGUCUGAUGUGAAAACCCAGGGCUCAACUCUGGGACUGCAUUGGAAACUGCCGGGCUGGAGUGUCGGAGGGGUAAGCGGAAUUCCUAGUGUAGCGGUGAAAUGCGUAGAUAUUAGGAGGAACACCAGUGGCGAAGGCGGCUUACUGGACGACUACUGACGCUGAGGCUCGAAAGCGUGGGGAGCAAACAGGAUUAGAUACCCCCGUA
rnacentral:rRNA from 1 species